rnacentral:rRNA from 1 species
AUUGAACGCUGGCGGCAGGCUUAACACAUGCAAGUCGAGCGGUAACAGGGGUAGCUUGCUACCCGCUGACGAGCGGCGGACGGGUGAGUAAUGCAUAGGAAACUGCCCAGUAGUGGGGGAUAGCCCGGGGAAACCCGGAUUAAUACCGCAUACGUCCUACGGGAGAAAGCAGGGGAUCUUCGGACCUUGCGCUAUUGGAUGAGCCUAAGUCGGAUUAGCUAGUUGGUGGGGUAAAGCCUACCAAGGCGACGAUCCGUAGCUGGUCUGAGAGGAUGAUCAGCCAC